GACGAACGCUGGCGGCGUGCCUAAUACAUGCAAGUAGAACGCACAGUUUAUACCGUAGCUUGCUACACCAUAAACUGUGAGUUGCGAACGGGUGAGUAACGCGUAGGUAACCUGCCUGGUAGCGGGGGAUAACUAUUGGAAACGAUAGCUAAUACCGCAUAAUAUUGAUUAUUGCAUGAUAAUUGAUUGAAAGAUGCUAUUGCAUCACUACCAGAUGGACCUGCGUUGUAUUAGCGAGUAGGUGAGGUAACGGCUCACCUAGGCGACGAUACAUAGCCGACCUGCGAGGGUGAUCGGCCACACGGGGACUGAGACACGGCCCAGACUCCGACGGAAGGCAGCAGUAGGGAAUCGUCGGAAAUGGACGAAAGUCUGACCGAGCAACGCCGCGGGAGUGAAGAGGGUUUUCGGAUCGUAAAGCUCUGUUGUAGGAGAAGAACGGGUGUGAGAGUGGAAAGUACACACUGUGACGGGAUCUUACCAGAAAGGGACGGCGAAACACG
rnacentral:rRNA from 1 species